rnacentral:rRNA from 1 species
AGUUUUUGGUGGGGUGAUGAUGCAACACAAAAAAAGAUGCACCGAUUCGCGUGGUGGAAGAUGUGUAUACCAAAAAAGCAAGGAGGCAUGGGAUUUAGGGAUAUCCACUGUUUCAAUCUUGCACUGUUUGCUAAACAGGCUUGGCGGCUAAUUGACAACCCAGAAUCUUUAUGUGCAGUAAUUCUCAUGGCAAAGUAUUUCCUAGAGGGAGACCUGAUGAAUGCUACUUUGGACAGAAAAGGAUCAUACACAUGGCAGAGUAUUAUGGUAGGAGUGGACACAUUGAGGAGGGGCUAUAUCUGGAGGAUUGGGGACGAUCAAAGCAUUAAAGCUUGGAGUGAUCCGUGGAUACCUCAGUCAUCCUCCAAAAAGGAUCUAACUACCGUGGGAAUAAUCUUCUUUCACGUGUCUCUGAUCUCAUAG